CCUACGGGUGGCAGCAGUGAGGAAUAUUGGUCAAUGGGCGCGAGCCUGAACCAGCCAAGUAGCGUGAAGGAUGACUGCCCUACGGGUUGUAAACUUCUUUUAUAAAGGAAUAAAGUGAGGCACGUGUGCCUUUUUGUAUGUACUUUAUGACUAAGGAUCGGGUAACUCCGUGCCAGCUGCCGCGGUAAUAAGGAGGAUCCGAACGUUAUCCGGAUUUAUUUGGUUUAAAGGGAGCGUAGAUGGGUUGUUACGUCAGUUGUGAAAGUUUGCGGCUCAACCGUAAAAUUGCAAUUGAUACUGGCAGUCUUGAGUACAGUUGAGGUAGGCGGAAUUCGUGGUGUAGCGGUGAAAUGCUUAGAUAUCACGAAGAACUCCGAUUGCGAAGGCAGCUUACUAAACUGCCACUGACAUUGAUGCUCGAAAGUGUGGGUAUCAAACAGGAUUAGAGACCCGGGUAGUC
rnacentral:rRNA from 1 species